rnacentral:rRNA from 1 species
GAUGAACGCUGGCGGCGUGCUUAACACAUGCAAGUCGAACGGAAAGGCUCCUGCUUGCAGGGGUACUCGAGUGGCGAACGGGUGAGUAACACGUGGGUGAUCUGCCCUGCACUUCGGGAUAAGCCUGGGAAACUGGGUCUAAUACCGGAUAGGACGAUGGUUUGUAUGCCAUUGUGGAAAGUUUUUCGGUGUGGGAUGAGCUCGCGGCCUAUCAGCUUGUUGGUGGGGUAAUGGCCUACCAAGGCGUCGACGGGUAGCCGGCCUGAGAGGGUGUACGGCCACAUUGGGACUGAGAUACGGCCCAGACUCCUACGGGAGGCAGCAGUGGGGAAUAUUGCACAAUGGGCGCAAGCCUGAUGCAGCGACGCCGCGUGGGGGAUGACGGCCUUCGGGUUGUAAACUCCUUUCGCUAGGGACGAAGCGCAAGUGACGGUACCUGGAGAAGAAGCACCGGCUAACUACGU